CCGAUAUACUGCUCUGUCGCUUGGGAGAAGUCCUGAGAGGAAAGUCCGGACAACGUAGGGUGCCGCACCACCUAACGGGUGGGAACAUACUCAACAUAUGUUACAGCUUAGUGUCACAGAAAAUAACCGCCGGGAGCGUACUCCCGGUAAGGGUGAAAAUGUGAGGUAAGAGCUCACGUGUUUGUGCAGCAAUGUAUGAGCAGGAUAAACCUUGCGGGUUGAAAUGCCAUGUAUAUUCUGGUCUUCUGUGAUGGAAGCACAUCUGACCCGGAUGGGUUGUCUCAUGACAUGUCAGAAGGGGUAGGCAGCAUAGAUAAAUGACAGAGAAUACAUCAUUUUGAUGUGUUACAGAAUCCGGCUUACAGGUAUAUCUUUUAC
rnacentral:RNase_P_RNA from 1 species